UACGAAGGGGGCGAGCGUUGUUCGGAAUCACUGGGCGUAAAGCGUGCGUAGGCGGUCAUGAAAGUUAGGAGUGAAAGCCCAGGGCUCAACCCUGGAAUUGCUCUUAAAACUACAUGGCUCGAAUUCGGGAGAGGAUAGCGGAAUUGUCAGUGUAGCAGUGAAAUGCGUAGAUAUUGACAGGAACACCAGUGGCGUAAGCGGCUAUCUGGACCGACAUUGACGCUGAGGCACGAAAGCGUGGGGAUCAAACAGG
rnacentral:rRNA from 1 species